CCCUUAGAUGUUCUGGGCUGCACGCGCGCUACACUGAAGCGUUCAACGAGUAUUCACCUUGCCCGGGAGGGUUGGGUAAUCUUUUGAAAACGCUUCGUGAUGGGGAUAGAUUAUUGCAAUUAUUAAUCUUCAACGAGGAAUUCCUAGUAAGCGCGAGUCAUCAGCUCGUGCUGAUUACGUCCCUGCCCUUUGUACACACCGCCCGUCGCUACUACCGAUUGAAUGAUUUAGUGAGGACUUCGGACUGGGACCAAUGCGGCUUUCGGGCUGCGUCGGUAUUCUGGAAAGAUGUCCAAACUGUAUCAUUUAGAGGAAGUAAAAGUCGUAACA
rnacentral:rRNA from 1 species